rnacentral:tRNA from 6 species
GGCGGGAUAGCAAAAUGGUUAUGCAGCGGCCUGCAAAGCCGUUUACGUCGGUUCGAUUCCGUCUCCCGCCUCCA